CUGAUGCCCUCAUUACUAAAAAAGGAUGUCAGACUGAGAAAUUGAGCCAAGAAAAGUCAACUGCAGAUGCAUAAGAUCAAAAGGUUGCAUUCAUACAAGAAGAAGUAUCUAUGAAACAAAAGGACUGUGAAGAGGAUCUGAGCAAAGCAGAACCAGCACUGAUUGCAGCCACAGCAGCACUUGAUACCCUCAACAAGAUGUGAAGCUGGAAAGGUUGUUAUUCCAAUAUCAGAAGGUUUGAACCCAAUUGCCAUGCUGA